rnacentral:rRNA from 1 species
GAUGAACGCUAGCGGCAGGCUUAAUACAUGCAAGUCGAGGGGCAUCAAGGUACACGAAAGUGUAUUGUUGGCGACCGGCGGACGGGUGAGUAAUAGGUAGGUAACCUACCUCAUACUGAGGCAUAGCUGGGAGAAAUUCCAGGUAAUUCCUCAUGAGGUUAUAUGACACAUGUGAUAUAAUCAAAGGUAUCGCAAGGUACUGGUAUGAGAUGGGCUUACUGACCAUUAGCUAGUUGGUGAGAUAAGAGCUCACCAAGGCGAAGAUGGUUAGGGGUUUUGAGAGAGAGAUCCCCACAUUGGAACUGAGAUACGGUCCAGACUCCUACGGGAGGCAGCAGUAGGGAAUAUUGGGCAAUGGGCGGAAGCCUGACCCAGCCAUGCCGCGUGAAGGAAGACGGCCUUAUGGGUUGUAAACUUCUUUAACUAUGCGACUAACUAGAUUUACGAGAUAAUUCUAUAGAAUGUAGCAUAGCAAAAAGCACCGGA